GGACCGGGGUGGACUUACCGCUGGUGUACCAGUUGUUCUGCCAAGGGCAUUGCUGGGUAGCUAUGUAGGGAAGGGAUAAACGCUGAAAGCAUCUAAGUGUGAAGCCCACCUCAAGAUGAGAUUUCCCAUUUCUUUAAGAAAGUAAGAUCCCUGAGAGAUGAUCAGGUAGAUAGGUCAGGAGUGGAAGUACAGUGAUGUAUGGAGCGGACUGAUACUAAUCGAUCGAGGACUUAACCAAU
rnacentral:rRNA from 1 species